rnacentral:rRNA from 1 species
AGAGUUUGAUCAUGGCUCAGAUUGAACGCUGGCGGCAGGCCUAACACAUGCAAGUCGAACGGUAACAGGAAGAAGCUUGCUUCUUUGCUGACGAGUGGCGGACGGGUGAGUAAUGUCUGGGAAACUGCCUGAUGGAGGGGGAUAACUACUGGAAACGGUAGCUAAUACCGCAUAACGUCGCAAGACCAAAGAGGGGGACCUUCGGGCCUCUUGCCAUCGGAUGUGCCCAGAUGGGAUUAGCUAGUAGGUGGGGUAACGGCUCACCUAGGCGACGAUCCCUAGCUGGUCUGAGAGGAUGACCAGCCACACUGGAACUGAGACACGGUCCAGACUCCUACGGGAGGCAGCAGUGGGGAAUAUUGCACAAUGGGCGCAAGCCUGAUGCAGCCAUGCCGCGUGUAUGAAGAAGGCCUUCGGGUUGUAAAGUACUUUCAGCGGGGAGGAAGGGAGUAAAGUUAAUACCUUUGCUCAUUGACGUUACCCGCAGAAGAAGCACCGGCUAACUCCGUGCCAGCAGCCGCGGUAAUACGGAGGGUGCAAGCGUUAAUCGGAAUUACUGGGCGUAAAGCGCACGCAGGCGGUUUGUUAAGUCAGAUGUGAAAUCCCCGGGCUCAACCUGGGAACUGCAUCUGAUACUGGCAAGCUUGAGUCUCGUAGAGGGGGGUAGAAUUCCAGGUGUAGCGGUGAAAUGCGUAGAGAUCUGGAGGAAUACCGGUGGCGAAGGCGGCCCCCUGGACGAAGACUGACGCUCAGGUGCGAAAGCGUGGGGAGCAAACAGGAUUAGAUACCCUGGUAGUCCACGCCGUAAACGAUGUCGACUUGGAGGUUGUGCCCUUGAGGCGUGGCUUCCGGAGCUAACGCGUUAAGUCGACCGCCUGGGGAGUACGGCCGCAAGGUUAAAACUCAAAUGAAUUGACGGGGGCCCGCACAAGCGGUGGAGCAUGUGGUUUAAUUCGAUGCAACGCGAAGAACCUUACCUGGUCUUGACAUCCACGGAAGUUUUCAGAGAUGAGAAUGUGCCUUCGGGAACCGUGAGACAGGUGCUGCAUGGCUGUCGUCAGCUCGUGUUGUGAAAUGUUGGGUUAAGUCCCGCAACGAGCGCAACCCUUAUCCUUUGUUGCCAGCGGUCCGGCCGGGAACUCAAAGGAGACUGCCAGUGAUAAACUGGAGGAAGGUUGGGAUGACGUCAAGUCAUCAUGGCCCUUACGACCAGGGCUACACACGUGCUACAAUGGCGCAUACAAAGAGAAGCGACCUCGCGAGAGCAAGCGGACCUCAUAAAGUGCGUCGUAGUCCGGAUUGGAGUCUGCAACUCGACUCCAUGAAGUCGGAAUCGCUAGUAAUCGUGGAUCAGAAUGCCACGGUGAAUACGUUCCCGGGCCUUGUACACACCGCCCGUCACACCAUGGGAGUGGGUUGCAAAAGAAGUAGGUAGCUUAACCUUCGGGAGGGCGCUUACCACUUUGUGAUUCAUGACUGGGGUGAAGUCGUAACAAGGUAACCGUAGGGGAACCUGCGGUUGGAUCACCU